UGAUGUCAGAUAUAAACAGGAAGUUCCAGGCUAGAGGUUCGUGAACAGGAAUUAGACAGAAGACAUUGCUGGCACUGGGAAUGAAGAAGGAAGAAAAUAGAGGAGCCAUUAUCACCCAGCAGCCGUCUUCAGAGACCCAUCACAGUAUCUCAUUGUACGUCAUGAUGGAGAAUCAGCCGCCCCUCACAUCACCGGAUGGAUCCAGUAAUGGGAACCCACCAGAGAGAUGUCCCC